AGUAACCUUAGACCAGACCUGUUACCAAGCAAACUUGACAAACACCCAUCAAUGAGCAAUCUUUUUACAACCCUAUUACGUCGAUACACGGAUGUGAUCUGGGUAUAUAAGGCCCUAAAUUUGGAUCCAAAAAUCAGUAUCUAGUCAGCAUCCAGUCAGUAUCUAAAUUAAAUCAAAGCGAUCGACAUCAUCUCUGUACCAGUAGUCAGUACGAAUCUAUACUCGUUACCUACGAUUAUCCCAGUCUAAGUAAUACCCAUCUCGUGUGUGACCGAGCCAUUGUCAAACCUCCAAGCAGUAAAAAUUGGAAAGGCGGUGCAUCUGAACUGACUGUGGACGCACGAGCGGAGAACGGGUUUUCAGCUUCACAAAGAAGCAAUAAAGGUGUUUAUUGGAACUGGUCUUCUCUCGGCAACAUACAAAUAAAGAACUUCAAGAAAUCAUUAUAUACUAUUUUAUAAUAAAUUUCAUUUUAACUAA